UUGGGCGGGUUUAUAAAAUCUGGGCUCGGUUUUGAUGCAACUGGCGGGUUUUUAUUUUUGACUAUAAACAUGAUAUUUUAUUAAUUUUCUAUUCAGACGAAUAAAUAAAGUAUAUGGUUCAGUUUAGCCAAUAAGGUUCAGGAGAGUCCUGUCCAGUCAGACUUCAGUCUUCAUUAGCGGGUUGUUGUAAUCGUUCUACUCGUUAAGCCGAUAUCACAAAGUUAUUAACUGUUAUAACUGUUUGUUAUUGUAUUAGUUAUAACUGUGCAUUUUGGGCUGGUAUUUUUUUAAAUGGGAGGGUUUUAAGCUGUAGUUGGGCUAGAAAUCUUCAGUCCAAUCUGGCAACCCUGUUCACAAGCCAAAACUCUCCGGUUUCUCGGUCUACAUGAUCACACUGAAACCGGAGUUUAAAAAGCUUCACCCUGGCAGGACUUUUCAAAAAUGUUCUGUUUCAGUGACCGGAUGUUGCGUUUGCGUGUGGACGAGCGGACAAACCGCAUGAAAAAAGCUGCGGUUUUAAAAAUACCCGCGUUCGUGUGGACAGGGCCUCAGUUUCUUGGGAUAAAGUGCAUCUGCUGAUUGCUUUAAAUGUAAUUAACUUUCUAAUUGUAGGUGGCUGUGUGAUGGUUUCUGGUAAAGCUCACUUAACAGGUAACACAGAACUUUCACACUCACAUUCAAACUGGGUGAGGAAUUCGACGAAAGCACCAUAGACUUCAGAGUCUGCAAAUCUGUUUUGAACCUGGAAGGAGGUAAACUUAUACAUCUGCAGAAGUGGGACGGUAAAGAGGCCAC